UACGGAGGAUCCAAGCGUUAUCCGGAUUCACUGGGUUUAAAGGGUGCGUAGGUGGAAUGACAAGUCAGUGGUGAAAAACCUGCAGCUUAACUGUAGAACUGCCAUUGAUACUGUUAUUCUUGAGUACAUUUGAUGUGAGUGGAAUGUGUCGUGUAGCGGUGAAAUGCUUAGAUAUGACACAGAACACCAAUUGCGAAGGCAGCUCACAAAACUGUAACUGACACUGAGGCACGAAAGCGUGGGGAUCAAACAGG
rnacentral:rRNA from 1 species